rnacentral:tRNA from 1 species
GCCGCGGUAGCUCAGUCGGGUAAGUGCCAGCUUCUCGUGAUAGUGAUGCGGGUUCGAAUCCUGCCCGUGACA